rnacentral:rRNA from 1 species
CGGCGGACGGGUGAGUAACACGUGGGCAACCUGCCUGUAAGACUGGGAUAACUUCGGGAAACCGAAGCUAAUACCGGAUAGGAUCUUCUCCUUCAUGGGAGAUGAUUGAAAGAUGGUUUCGGCUAUCACUUACAGAUGGGCCCGCGGUGCAUUAGCUAGUUGGUGAGGUAACGGCUCACCAAGGCAACGAUGCAUAGCCGACCUGAGAGGGUGAUCGGCCACACUGGGACUGAGACACGGCCCAGACUCCUACG